GAAUAAAAAAACUUAUUACCGAAGACAGUAGGUGGACGUAUCCUUAAUUUCCUACCGAGGGAAAGUUACAUAUACUUUUGUAUUUAAACUUUCCAAAUCGGAAAGUUUUUUUAUAAAUAU
rfam:Firmicutes bacterium CAG:582 genomic scaffold, scf40